rnacentral:rRNA from 1 species
AAGAAGGCGUCGGCAUCGGAGAAGGCGAAGGGGAGAUCCACCAGCCGCCGAGGAUCCUCAUCCAGAUCCCGCCUGCCGAAAGGCUGGGUCCAAGGCGACUGGAUCCAGUCGACCAUCACGGAGAAGGACCUCCUCGACAUGGCCGACGAGGGCUUGAUCCCUCACGGAGCCGCGAGGUUGCCGGGGAAGGAGUGGCAGCCACAGCCAGAAGAGGGUGAGUGUGUGCUCCUGGCCACUCAUGUCGAUCGGGGGUUUUCCUUGCCACCGAGCAUUUUCUUCCGGGGUUUCCUGAAUUUCUUUGGGGCGCAGCUCCACCACUUU